UUACUCCUACGGGAGGCAGCAGUGGGGAAUAUUGCACAAUGGGCGCAAGCCUGAUGCAGCGACGCCGCGUGAGGGAUGGAGGCCUUCGGGUUGUAAACCUCUUUUGUUAGGGAGCAAGGCACUUUGUGUUGAGUGUACCUUUCGAAUAAGCACCGGCUAACUACGUGCCAGCAGCCGCGGUAAUAAA
rnacentral:rRNA from 1 species